CACGUAGGGUGCGAGCGUUGUCCGGAAUUAUUGGGCGUAAAGAGCUCGUAGGCGGUGUGUCGCGUCGGCCGUGAAAACCUGCAGCUUAACUGUGGCUUGCGGUCGAUACGGGCAGACUUGAGUACUGCAGGGGAGACUGGAAUUCCUGGUGUAGCGGUAGAAUGCGCAGAUAUCAGGAGGAACACCGGUGGCGAAGGCGGGUCUCUGGGCCGAUACUGACGCUGAGGAGCGAAAGCGUGGGGAGCGAACAGG
rnacentral:rRNA from 1 species